UAACUUACCGCCCAUACAGUAGCUUUUCUGUGAAGGGAGGGACGUUUCUGGUGAGUGAAUUUGCAAAUAAAUGCGGUUGGUUGUGUUCAGUUUUUCAUAUAACACGUUUGAAACGUUAAAUACAGGUAGUUUAGUAUGUUUUGAUGAAAUUUUAGGGACUGUCUGCCCGUUUUCGUUGUCAACAGUGCAGCAGUGUAACGGCCCGAGUGAGCGAGCGCGGGUUUGUUCUCCUGGCUGUUGCAGCACUGGAUACGCGUGCCCUGUGUUUAAAUUCAAACACACGGCGGGAAGAGCUCAACGGAUCUCUGUCGUUGUGGCGGGAGUCCUGCGUUCACAGUCGCGCUGCUUCUCAUUUUGCUGUCUGACUCGGUCGUAACCACGGAAACAUCCCAGAUGUGUCGAGGUCUAAAUGUCAGCUGGCUCGCUCUCAAGCUCCGAGGUCCAGCGCUCAUUCUGUGAUUAUCCCACAAUGCAAAGCUGAUGGAAACACACCUUUAGGUUAAGGCUCACAGUCAGAUGGGUUACUGCUGGUGUUUUACACCAGAUGGGGUUCCUGUUAGUGGAAGUUCAGUCCCACACUUGCAACCCAACUGUACCGGUUUAUGGUUUGACUAGAUGAUCUCUCAGGAUAGAAGAGAGAUGCUCUCACCUGAUGUAUUACUGAAGACAAAAACACAUCUGGGUCCAGCUCAUCACCUCGUCUCACUCCAGACGGGGCCGCAUGUGGGCCGGGUGUAUUCCACUACCACAGAUUUAUCUCACUGGACUGAUGAAAACUUCAAUGAAAACAAGGUCAAAUAAAC